ensembl:lncRNA
CACUGUUUGAGUGGGUUUACACAGAUGGAGACCAUUCUUAGUCAACAUUCACAUAAAAAUCAGCCCGGGUCCUUUUAAUUUCUGGUUUUUCCCCCCUUCUUCUGGUUGGCCUCCUUUUCAUUGUGUGUAGACAGUGGCGGAGACUUUGCUGUUUUACUGGGCGGGAGAUGAGCCCUUUAUGUGUUUAAGAGCUCUAAACUUCACAAGGAUCCGUAGAUUCUCACAGUCACCAGUAAAGACCACCUCGUCAUUCACGUUUUUCACAAAAGGCAAACCAUUUUUUUUUUUUAACACGUCUGGGAGUUACAAUAGUUUAAGUCCAGUAUGGCGUAAACAGACAACUGGUUUCACUGCUUUUUUCAGCGUGAUCCCAACGAAGAAAACAACUGAACCACAAGGCUUCCCUCUGUCUGCGACGUGAAUAGUUUUCUCUCCAGCCUUUAGGACAUAAGACAUCUGUGCUGUGUAAUUGCGUCCCGGAUGAAAAAGCUGCGUCCUGCUGAUACAUUCAAGCUUGCACAAAGUCAACAAAGCCACAAGCACAAUACUGUGGAGCUCUUACGUGUAAGAGAAACAGCAGCCGCGGAUCGCAGUCCGCCGGGAUCAUCAGCUUCCUCAUUUACGGCUCGAAGGCGAUGCCAAACGUCAUGUGAAACCAUGAAGGACGGGAGGCAAUAAGUCGGGAGAAUAGCAGCAAUCUUGGGGAAAGUUCUCCAUUCACUCUCACUCCCGUAUAGUUCUCGGUCCCCUUAUCCAGCUUUGAAGAUAAAGAAGAAAAAAAAUCAAUACAGAAACAGUGUGAGAUAAAAGCGCAAAGGGGGGAGAGAGCCGAGCCGAGUUGGGUGCAGUGAAUUAAAGCGAUGAGAAAUUUCCCGGCCGCUCGGUUCCUCCGUCUACAUACGCUAGCAGGCCUGUCUCGCUGUGUCCAUCACUCUCGGCGCUCUCUUCAAUCCCUCUUUGUUCACUUUUGAUUUCUUUUUGGUCUAUUCCCAGUUGGCUUUGUGUUUUGGGAUGAAGGACCGGCUCCCCAUUCAGCUGCAAUAACUGCUGAGUGAAGGUUUUGGAUAUUGGGAGGGAGCUUCCGUGUUGCCG